UACGAAGGGGGCUAGCGUUGUUCGGAAUCACUGGGCGUAAAGCGCGCGUAGGCGGAUUGUUAAGUCGGGGGUGAAAUCCCGAGGCUCAACCUCGGAACUGCCUUCGAUACUGGUAAUCUUGAGUCCGGGAGAGGUGAGUGGAACUCCUAGUGUAGAGGUGAAAUUCGUAGAUAUUCGGAAGAACACCAGUGGCGAAGGCGACUUACUGGACGACUGUUGACGCUGAGGUGCGAAAGCGUGGGGAGCAAACAGG
rnacentral:rRNA from 1 species